rfam:Ovis aries breed Texel chromosome 11, whole genome shotgun sequence.
UCCCUGGUGGUCCAGUGGUUAGAACUUAGCCCUGCCAUUGCUGUUGGCCCAGGUUCAACCCCUGGUCAGGCAA